ACGAUUUCUGUUCUUCGUUAUUCUCUUGGCGGAACCCUAUCUCAGCUCCUUACAUCUCUUACUUCUACUCUGUACUUCAAUUUAUAUUUCUCUAGCUCUGUUUGUUUUGUUUUGUUUUUUUUUGUGAAUUUCUAACUAAAGACGAACAAAAAAAUGUCAAGUGCAUUAGAGAUGUCGCUAGACGACCUGAUCAAGCGUAACCGUAAGUCCGGAUCCGGAAAUCCCCGCGGUCGAGGCCGUGGAUCCGGACCGGGACCCGCCCGCCGCUUUCCUAACCGCGGAGCAAACCGCUCGGCACCGUAUACUGCUGCUACGGCGCCGGAGACGACGUGGCAGCACGAUAUGUAUUCGGAUAAGGGAGCGGCGUUCCAAGGUCAAGCCGGUCGGGCCGCUGCAAUAGAAACCGGAACGAAGCUCUACGUCUCUAAUUUAGAUUAUGGAGUAUCUAACGACGACAUAAAGGAGUUAUUUUCUGAGGUUGGUGACCUGAAACGAUAUGCAAUUCAUUAUGAUUGGACUGGUAGAUCGAAGGGAACCGCCGAAGUUGUCUUUUCACGGAAAGCAGAUGCUAUGGCUGCGGUCAAGAGAUACAAUAAUGUUCAACUUGAUGGAAAGCCGAUGAAAAUCGAGAUUGUGGGAACAAACAUUGCUACCCCUGCUGCACCAACAGUUGCCAAUGUUGCUUUUGGAAGUUCUAAUGGAGCCCCUAGAGGUGGGCGUGGCAGGGGUGGAGGAUUCCGUAGGCAACGUGGUGUUGCUGGAGGCCGUGGCUUUGGAAGAGGCCGUGGACAGGGAAGGGGCCGUGGAGAAAAGGUUUCGGCAGAAGAUCUUGACGCUGAUCUAGAGAAGUAUCACACUGAAGCAAUGCAGACAAAUUGAAGCAUUUCUCAUGCUCUGUUGGUUGGGUUUUAAGUCGUCUUUUCUACUAUGGACAUUAUGUGCUUGAUGCUCAACUAUAUUGUGUAUCACUACCAAAUUCACUCUUUAGAGGAACUAGUCAUAUGGAGAGAACUAUUAGUGUCUAAAUUUUUAUGGAGUUUGAGCUUUUACUGUUGACCUUUUACUUGGGUAUAAAGAAUGUGGAUUAGUGGGGAACAAAAAAAGCUAUCAUUUUGUAAUCUGCAAUUAUGCUUUUAGUUCCAUUGAAAUUGGGCUCAUUCCACCAUUCAGUAACAAAGCGGAAACUUUUUCUCUAUAUGCAAAGGGAACUUUGGCUGCAUGCUGUGGGAGGAGUAAUCUUGCCGCUGCCCAAAGCUGCAUUGCCUUUUGGUUGCUCCUGCAUUUUGGAACUAGGGAGACUGCAAUCUGAGUAAACUAUUGUAGAAUCUCCCUGCUUUGGUUUCAACCAGUUGGUUUCUUGCCGGAGAAAAUCUGUUGACGGCUCCAGUACAGUUGGCUUAUAGGAGCUUGUUCUGGAGUUCAAAUGAUUAUAGAAAUCUGUUGAAGUACAAUAAGAUUCUGAAGUUUGCUCUUUCAGUUUCCAUAUAAAGUGAAUGAACCCCCUCUGCCUCCGCAUAUAAGCCUGCAUUUCAUUUUGGGGCUUGGGGAAGUUGAAUAAGAGUAUAGUUACGGCAUGAAUAUACUUUAACAAAAGCUAAGAUUUAAAUAGCGGGAAAUUGCUUAAGUUUUUUGUCAUUCUGUGAGCUGCUAUGGUAAUGCUUGGAGCAAACGGCUUUUGUCACUACUUCCCCUGAUUCAAGGUUAGGAACUUCAAAGUGGACGAUGCUUAUUUGCCAUAGUAGUAUCGGGUCUUCACUUUGGAAGCUUGCCCCAACCUUCAGACUAUGAAGUUGGUGAGUGCUGGUUUUCCUAUUUACAUAUAUGCACAGUUAUUGACCAAUGAGUCUUAUUUUGCUCAUGAUUAACAUCUAUAUAUAGUUUUUAUGAUUCUUGAAUUUCAGUUAUUUUAAUAAAAAUUGAAUCUCAAGGAAUGUUUUGUUUAUUCA